GGGGAUGAAAUGGUUUCGACGGGGAUGAGGAUGGUUAUGAUUGCAUCUCGUGCUCUCCGUAUGCACGUUAAUCUCGUGGAAAACAAUAAUUGCAAACUAUAACUAUGCAAUGGCUGCCUAAUUAAGGCAACCCGUUUUCACAAACGUUGUGUCCACUGGACAUUGUGAAGGCGUCACCCACAGUGGAAUAGGCAAACGUUUGCUCGCAAUGUUUGUAGAAAAUUUUUAGAGAUAGUUUUUCGGUUAUCAUGUCGCUGCGAGUACGAAAAAUGAAAUUUAAAUAGCGAAUAUAGAUGUAGCAGUUGUAAUGGUCUUCUCUUCGGACGUGGGUUCGACUCCCACCAUCUCCACAA
rnacentral:tmRNA from 1 species